GAGGGCCUACGGGAGGCAGCAGUGGGGAAUAUUGCACAAUGGGGGAACCCCUGAUGCAGCGACGCCGCGUGAGUGAAGAAGUAUUUCGGUAUGUAAAGCUCUAUCAGCAGGGAAGAAAAAAGACGGUACCUGACUAAGAAGCCCCGGCUAACUACGUGCCAGCAGCCGCGGUAAUACGUAGGGGGCAAGCGUUAUCCGGAUUUACUGGGUGUCAAGGGAGCGUAGACGGUGCGUCAAGUCUGAAGUGAAAGCCCGGGGCUUAACCCCGUGACUGCUUUGGAAACUGGCGCGC
rnacentral:rRNA from 1 species